CAGAGGGGGCAAGCGUUAUUCGGAAUUAUUGGGCGUAAAGGGCGCGUAGGCGGCUUAGCAAGUGACGGGUGAAAGCCCUCGGCUUAACCGAGGAACUGCCUGUCAGACUGCAUGGCUUGAGACCAGGAGAGGUGAGUGGAAUUCCCAGUGUAGCGGUGAAAUGCGUAGAUAUUGGGAGGAACACCAGUGGCGAAGGCGGCUCACUGGACUGGUACUGACGCUGAGGCGCGAAAGCGUGGGGAGCAAACAGGAUUAGAUACCCUGGUAGUCCACGCCGUAAACGAUGAGUGCUUGGUGUAGCGGGUAUCGACCCCUGCUGUGCCGAAGUCAACACAUUAAGCACUCCGCCUGGGGAGUACGGUCGCAAGACUG
rnacentral:rRNA from 1 species